rnacentral:rRNA from 1 species
UCUCCUGGAAACGGGUGGUAAUGCCGGAUGUUCCACAUGAGCGCAUGCGAGUGUGGGAAAGGCUUUUUGCGGCAUGGGAUGGGGUCGCGUCCUAUCAGCUUGUUGGUGGGGUAACGGCCUACCAAGGCGUUGACGGGUAGCCGGCCUGAGAGGGCGACCGGCCACAUUGGGACUGAGAUACGGCCCAGACUCCUACGGGAGGCAGCAGUGGGGAAUAUUGCACAAUGGGCGCAAGCCUGAUGCAGCGACGCCGCGUGCGGGAUGGAGGCCUUCGGGUUGUAAACCGCUUUUGUUCAAGGGCAAGGCACGGUUUCGGCCGUGUUGAGUGGAUUGUUCGAAUAAGCACCGGCUAACUACGUGCCAGCAGCCGCGGUAAUACGUAGGGUGCAAGCGUUAUCCGGAUUUAUUGGGCGUAAAGGGCUCGUAGGCGGUUCGUCGCGUCCGGGUGUGAAAGUCCCAUCGCUUAACGGUGGAAUCCGCCGCCCGGGUACGGGCCGGGCCUUGAAUGGCGUAAGGGAAAACUGGAAAUUCCCGGGGAACGGGGGAAGGGGUAAAAAUCGGAAAAAACC